UCAAAUUCCAUUUUACCCCUUCCAUUCUGUCUUAAACCAAUGGCCACUUCCAUUCUAUCUUAGACCAAUGGAAAUGGAACCUAAGCCUUUUUGCUCAAAUUCCAUAUAAGGGCGGGCAGCGUAAGCACCCUCCAUUCUGGAUCAAUGGAAUCUUAAUCUUAAGCCAUUUUGCUCAAAUUCCAUCAUAAUUGCAGAGGCAGCCUUAUAUAUGCUUAAAACAGGCGGCUUCACACACCUCAACCUCCAGUUUAGGAUCAAAGAUCAGACUCCUGGCAUAGGAGUGGGCAGGCCAAACAAACAUAGUGCCUUGUUCCAUCACCGUUUGCCCUCACAUGAGUUACAAGCUAGCGCUACUG
rnacentral:lncRNA from 1 species